rnacentral:lncRNA from 1 species
UUCGAGCCAUUACACAAACAAGUAAUUGUAAAUGGCCUUUGCUUUUUUUGUAUGCCUGUUCAUUAAUGCUUUCAAGCAGCUGACGAAGCAUCUAAACACUAGUGAAUGGUCUCAUGGAAAUGGCUUCGUACAAAACAGGCUCUCCCAUUAUGAUUCCCAGUUUGUUGCACUUUGUGAUGAGCUUUGGGAUGAAUUGAGUAGGAUCCAGACAGAAUCGAUCAUAACUGCUGAAGUCAAGUACAGCCCAGUGACUGAUUGGUUUUCCUUCCACUAGAGACUUCCCAACAAGAUUCCAAUGGCAUUUUUCUCGGUCAACUGUUACCUUAGUCAUCCUGCCAUCAGAAGAAGGACCCAACUUCAACUCAGGUGGGACAAUGACACGCCCUAUUACUGAUGUCAUAUUCAUGUUGACUUCAAUUCCAAAAUUCUCAAUGAUGCCACCACUGCCAAUAACUAAAGAAUCAGGAUCAUAAUUAAUAAUGCAGUUUUUUAUGUAGAAUUAAGUUAAUCAAAAUGGUAAAACUAUCUUGUUGGGAUCUGUACGUGUGCAUGCCACAGAGAUCUGUACACUUCAUUAAAUUAAGGUAACACCGCUAUAUGCGAAAAAAUUCCACUAUCACCAGCAUGUUCAUAAAUGAUAUUAGAGCAGAACUGUAGUUCUCAUCCUUCAGAGGAACCAACUGCCUGCUGACUAAAAUCAUACACACUAAUUGUGUUCCAUGAGAGGAAGAAUGACUUCAAGAAAAAUCAAGUAAACAACAGUGGAAGUUUGUUCACAUCUAACUUUACUAACCAAAAGAAAGGACACAAAAUAGCUUACCCACAAGGUCCAUCACCAGAUUGUACCAUGCCACAUAUCAUGUUCUCUCUAACCUUUGGUGAAGCCAAUGACAUGUCCUUCAGCUUGAUAGCUGCAUUUCUGUCCAAAUUCUCCUUUGGAUACCUUUGCCCCUCAACUAAGACACAGAACUCCAGCGGUGUAUAGUUCUUCCUACCAUUUUUCCCCAAAUCCAAGCAGGGAAUGUUUUUGUACUGGAUCUCCUGGUAUUUUUCCCUGAAAUAAUCAAGCAGCCUAACUUUCUUAGGUGUACACUGGCCAUCUAUGCCUGCAGCAUCAAAUGUAAUGUCUCCUGCAUUCUUAUCAGUCAGCCCCUUGAUGAUGUACUUUUGCUUGGUUCUAAGGUGUGUCACGGUAACUUUCAAUCCCAUCAAUACAUCCACAACCUCUCUCCUAAACCUGUUGAGAUUGUUUAAAUCAAAGCCCCUGAUCUGCUCUUGCAGAAAAUCUAUAACGGGCAGGCGCUUAUAAAAUGCCAAGACUGAGUAGUCAAGACACAAGGCAGGACCCUGGAAAGUCAUCCUUGAGCUUUGCUGAAACCCUCUAAAUGCAGCAAUACCAUGUCCAAGGUCAUCGUUUUGAUUUGAUGUAGCGGGGUAAAAGCUUCGCCCAACAGAAACCAAGCACCUAGUUGGAUUUUCUUUCAUCACCAAAUCCAUACCCUGCAAUAUAUCACGAGGGAUAGACAAGAGUUGGCCACUACAGUACUCCUUCAACUUGCAAAGCUUGAGCUCAUUUACCAAAUUUAUGGUAAAUAUGUAUGAACUGAACCGCGUGCCUUCUUCCUCAGAAACCUCCACCUUAAAUGAUCCGGUGGGCAAUGGCACUGCACUGAAGAUGUUCUUUCCAUCAUCACAUGCGGUACUUGACAAGGGAAAAUCCGAAGGAUUAUCAUAGGAUAACUUCUUCCUGAUUGCAGAGAGUUCAGACUUCGACAUUUUCACAGGACGGCCAUUUUUAGCAGGCUUCUCUGGCUUGACAUCAACAUCGUAGUGCCUUAUAAUACUCUCAGGAUUGUACGAGAGAUUAAAAUGAUUAGCACGAAGCCUAGUAGUUCGGAUAGAUUUUGUGCCUCCAUUAUCAGGCCGUCUCACAGGGAGUUUUUUGUCUGCUUCAUCCAAAGAAGGCGAAGAAAGUGCCUGUUUCGAAAUUUCCAGAGAUUGCAUUCUAGGAACAAGAGUAUCUGUGAAGAAAAAAGAACAAACAAAAGGUGUUAUUACCAAGCCUCAUUUUUUAUGUAAAUCCAAAUGGCUAGACCAACGGUAGCUAAAAAACUGACAUUUAGGAAUAAAAAUGCAACGGCUUCAUUCACAGCCUAUAUGAUAUGAUCAGUAGUGCAAAUUUCAAUUGUAUCUCAAAAAGGACCCAGAAUGAAGAAGAAAAAAAAAUUACCGGGAGUAGGAGAGUUGAUCGGGGCUGGAGAUACAGCAGGAGAGGCUGCUCUGGUGGGAGCGGGACUAUUCCAUGGAGAAGGCCUCCCUUGCUGGCCCGAACUCUCAUUCGGUUGUUGUAUACUGCUGCUGCUGCAGCGGUUGUUGUUGAUGGUGGUACUGGGACCCACCACCACCAUGACCGCCAUAACCACCUCUUCCUCCUCCACUUCCUCUGCCGUAGCCACCAUAAUCACCUCUUUCACCACCAUCACUGCUGCCUCUACGUCUUCCUCUGUUUCCACCACCACCUCUUUCCAUUGGAGAAAUCGGGAGCAAACUCAAAAACGAUCGAAGAGAAAACUUGCCUCAAAUUCGUACUCUCUCAAUUCACAAAAAUCAGAAAUGAGUCUGUGAUCAAGAUGAGAAGUUGGUUCCUUAUAAAGGGUGUUGGGUGGAAUGACGAUCUUGUCCCUGCGCGAUUGCCUUAGUCCCGAAGUGCCUUAGUCACGAAGAAAUCAACCAAAAAGGAGACGCGGGAGUGGGAGCGAUUGGAAAAUGGUUUUAGAUUUUUGGUGGAAAGUCCAGAAGCUUCCAUGGAACAGAGAGGAAUUUGCUUCUUCUUUCUUUUUCGCCCAAGGGUUGCAUGAGGAACUGUAUUUGAUAACAUUCUCCUGUUUCUCGUUUCGCUUAUAUUCGCUCACUCUGUCCCCGCCCUUUUUUUUUUCUUUUUUUUUUUUUGAUAAUGCUUCCAAGUUCCCUCCUUUAAAAAUACAAAAGAAAGGUUCCCUCCUUGCCUAGCUCAACCACCACCACGUGUCUUUUUUAAUUCUCAAUUCUUUUUAAUUUCUUACCCAAGUUAAAAUUUAAAUUCUUUUGCGACCCAUUGCAACUCCUUAUAAUCCCCCUCCAGCCAAAACAAUAUGGUAAACAAUGAACUCUGGUAAACAUAACCUUUUUAUGAUUUUAUUUUUUUUUCGUUUUUUUUUUUGUUUUUUUUGUUUUGCUAAAGAUAAGAAGGGAGGAAAAAAUUCACACAUAGUUGUGGGAACCUAAUUAAAUCAAACCCUAGGUCAAAUAAUUCCUACCAUUUGGGGAUUAUUUGACCCAAUUGGGAAUCAAUCAACCUAAUUGGGAGUUACUCAAUUUAAUUGGGAAUUACCCAAUUAAAUUGAGCGUUACCUAAUUAGGUUGAGAUUUGAUUUGGUUAAUUACCACGAUCCCCAAUUAAAUGAGAAGAUACCUAAUUGAAUCGGGAUUUGAUUUGAUACCUACCACAAUUAGGGAUUUGAUUUACCCUAAUAAAUCAAAUCCCUAAUUAAUCAAAUCAAUUCCAAAAAGGGGAGGAAUAAUUCCCUUCCAUCUACGGAAUUAUUCCUCUGAAACCCUAGCCUCCGAGACUACUAUAAAAGCAUAGCCAUACACAAUGGUUGAGGUACGUCAGAAUUACUACUAAAAUCUCUGCAGAAAAUUCCUCUCAAACCCUAGCCACCUCCUCUCUUUCUCUCUUUUACAUAAGGCUCCGGCCGCCCGAUUUAUAUUAUAAACACAUCCCGUACCCUAUUUUAGCUAUUGUUUCUCUAAAGAUCGAUUGAACUGACUUAGGCAUCGGAGGGCCUUUGGCCAACACCCCCCGGGUGUGGUCUUUUACUCCGAUCUGUUUUGCAGGGAGAAAGAGAGGCGGAGAAGACGAAGGAAUCUUGGCGAAUAUUCUCCCGUGAGAUUAUUUGCACAAACAAUAGUAAUAUGAAAGUUUGAACUCAUGAUCACUUGAGAGCACAACAAAGAAGCUAUUCAACUAACACCUUAUGGAUUCUUAGAACAAGCAAAUUUUGAGUGACAAGAGAUAGUAAAACACAUAAUGAAAAUACAUCAACAGAUUUCUGAACACAAAAUUAGAAUAGUCUCAUUAUGACCACAAGUGACAAUCACGGUCAAGAACAAAAAGAUACAUCCCUUCAUCACCAAUUUUGAGAUUAAAAAACACUAUUAAUUUGUAAUUAAGACAUUACUAGAUAAGGACGAGUUCCUCCUUAAAUUCACACAUAAGAAAUAAACACCCAUUAGAUUCACGCACAAACUCCUUUUGAGGAGGUUGGAGUUGCCCCCGGGAUUGCCAAGUUACAAAACCACAUCCUUCAUUUUCCACAAAAGAGAGAUCAGGGAUCAUGCUUCGACCUUCAUACGAAAAACAUUAUGUUUUCCAGGUCAGCAUGCAGUUUGUAAAACCUUUCCUCUAGAAAAGCCACUGAUAGUGGUGAUGAUGCUGACGAUGACGAUGAUGAUGAGGAGGAUGCUGAAGCUGGAGACUGUCCCUCCAUACUCUCAUGGUAUAAUCGCCCUCUAUAUGCCACAAGGUCAGCAUAGUACACCGGUGGGACCAACGAAACCGGUUUAGUACACCUUGCAAACGUGAAGCACAAGUCAUAUAUGAGCUUCUGCAAUUGGUCAGAAGUAAACCUGUGUUCAUCCCAAAGAACAUGGUAGUGUGUGGGUUUGCUUGUUCCAAGGGCUCCAUAAUGACUGCAGAGAUAGAAGUCAAACUCAAAUGGGUGCACGAUUAUUGUGUCCACAACAGUUCCCGGUAACACAUUGCCUGUGGAACUACCAUCCCUCAUACUCUCUGGAAAGAGACGAGUAUGAUGCCGUUUCUGGGCAACAAUUAGUGUGAUGGUUGGAUAGUAUUUUAUACCUCCCAAAGCCUUCUUCAGAUCUAGUAACUCUUCAUUGAGAACCAUAUCAAACUGGCCCUCACUGACUCCAUCACGGAAGACAACAAUUUUGUCCGGCUUAACUUUAUUCAAUCGCUCAUAAGUUUCAACAAGCUCCAGACACAUGUCUCCAAAAUUCAAUAUCUUCUCAGUGCGAUGGUACUGGGGUCGGACUCGUGCAGCAUAACGAUUUGCGGCAGGCCAGUUUACAGUGGCAACAACAGCUGCAAUUGAUGGACUUGUCGUGUUCCGCGCAGCAGGAUGAUUCACAUCAGCCCCCACAAACAUAACAUGGCCUGCACCCCCAAAGGGGGGAAGCCGAUCACUUAGCUCUACAUUACUGCCUCCAAGCUUGGCAUUGAUCUUAAGUGCAAGAUUCGAAAGAUACUGGUCAUUUGCUUUGUUAGCCAUAUUUGACAAGCAGCACUGCGUCACUAUACCAAUUUGAGUCUCAGAGAUCCACUUCAGAUACUUGUAACCAGGAUCUCUUCGAGCCAUUACACAAACAAGUAAUUGUAAAUGGCCUUUGCUUGUUUUGUAUGCCUGUUCAUUAAUGCCUUCAAGCAGCUGACGAAGCAUCUGAACACUAGUGAANNNNNNNNNNNNNNNNNNNNNNNNNNNNNNNNNNNNNNNNNNNNNNNNNNNNNNNNNNNNNNNNNNNNNNNNNNNNNNNNNNNNNNNNNNNNNNNNNNNNAACAGGCUCUCCCAUUCUGAUUCCCAGUUUGUUGCACUUUGUGAUGAGCUUUGGGAUGAAUUGAUUAGGAUCCAGACAGGAUCGAUCAUAACUGCUGAAGUCAAGUACAGCCCAGCGACUGAUUGGUUUUCCUUCCACUAGAGACUUCCCAACAAGAUUCCAAUGGCAUUUCUCUCGGUCAACUGUUACCUUAGUCAUCCUGCCAUCAGAAGAAGGACCCAACUUUAACUCAGGUGGGACAAUGACACGCCCUGUUACUGGUGUCAUAUUCUUGUUGACUACAAUUCCAAAAUUCCCAAUGAUGCCACCACUGCCAAUAACAAAAGAAUAAAAUUCAUAAUUAAUCACUGCAGUCUUAUGCAGAAUUAAGCUACUCAAAAUGGUAAUAACAUCACCCUAUUAAUAAGCAUCUUUUGUGCAUAAAAGAUGUUGAUAUUCAAUAUGCUUAGAUUCACUACUACCGCUGAGUUUAUCUACAACCCAUUUACUUGUGCAAGCUACAGAAACCUAUAGACUAUCAUUAAUUAAGUUAAUACCAUUACAUGGGAAACAAUUCCACUAUCACCAGCAUGUUCAUAAAUAGUAUUAGAGCACAAUACUAGUUCUCAGCCUUCAGAGAAGUGAACUGCCUGCUAACUAAAAUCAUACACACUAAUUGUGUUCCGUGCAUGAGGAACAAUGAAGUCAUGAAAGCUCAAGUAAACAACAGUGGAAGUUCGAUAAUAGUCAAACUUCACUAGGCAAAAAUAAAGGACAUAAAUUUACUUACCCACAAGGUCCAUCCUCAGAUUGUACCAUGCCACGUAUCAUGUUCUCUCUAAUCUCUGGUGAAGCCAAUGACAUGUCCUUCAGCUUGAUAGCUGCAUUUCUGUCCAAAUUCUCCUUUGGAUACCUUUGCCCCUCAACUAAGACACAGAACUCCAUCGGUGUAUCAUUCUUCCUACCAUUUUUCCCCAAAUCCAAGCAGGGAAUGUUUUUGUACUGGAUCUCCUUGUAUUUUUCACUGAAAUAGUCAAGAAGUCUAACUUUCCUAGGUGGACACUGGCCAUCUAUAUCUACAGCAUCAAAUGUAAUAUCUCCUGCAUUCUUAUCAGUCAGCCCCUUGAUGAUGUACUUUUGCUUGGUUUUCCGGUGAGUCACAGUAACUUUCAAUCCCCUCAAUACAUCCACAACCUCUCUCCUGAACCUAGUGAAAUCUUUUAAAGUAAAACCCCUUAUCUGCUGUUGCAGAAAAUCUAUAACUGGCAUGCGCUUAUGAAAUGCCAAGACUGAGUAGUCAAGACACAAAGCAGGACCCUGGGAAGUCAGCCUUAAGCUAUGCUGAAACCCUCUAAAUGCAGCAAUACCAUGUCCAAGGUCAUCGUUUUCAUUAGAUUCAGCAGGGUAAAAGUUUCGCCCAACAGAAACCAAGCACCUAGUUGGAUUUUCUUUCAUCACCAAAUCCAUACCCUGCAAUAUAUCACGAGGGAUAGACAACACGUGGCCACUCAAGUACUCCUUCAACUUGCAAAGCUUGAGCUCAUUUACAAACUUUAUGGUAAAUAUGUAUGAACUGAACCGUGUGUCUUCUUCCGCAGGAACCUCCACCUUAAAUGAUCCAGUGGGCAACGGCACUGCACUGAAGAUGUUUUUUUCACCAUCAUAUGCCGUACUUAACAAGGGAAAAUUCGA